AAGGAGAAGAACCGGGAGCCCGGAGCGGAGCGUGUUUCAGAGGUGCGUAUAAAAUCCCAGGGGCGUCAGGAGGCAGCAGCGACGGCGCAGCGUGGGACAGCCAGGCGCGACGGGAGGGAAGCAACCGGUUGCAGUCCGGCCUCCUGUACCUGGCUGGCCCGGGUUGGGGCUGCAAGCUUUCCAGUCAAACUUAACGUGAAGUAAAGUAGUUGCAGUUUGACAAAGAAUGGCGUUUC
rnacentral:lncRNA from 1 species